GAUAAUCAUACGCUCCUGAACCCUGUCGCCUGACAACUCUCAUUGCUGUGAGAGGUUUUCUAAGAGUCACGUGACCGAGUCUUCCCCUUCUAUUCUUUUACCAUUGUCAUUGGUUAUGUCCAUCACGUGGACCUGGAUAUCACCCUUAUCAGAAGGAAGUCUCCAAGUUCUUCGAUAAGGAGCAGAUAGAGCGCCUGAAGUUUACGAGUGCAGCCUCCAAGUUCCACCUGAUCACUGAAGAGUACCUGCACAAGCUCUACACCAUCAAACUGAUUGAAAUGCGAAAGCCGCUGCAUAUAUUCACGAUCAUCCUGGACACAACCUGCCUGUAGACCUCCGAGAGCCUCUACUCGAGCAUCUGCGGAGAGCCCCGAUGCCUCUCCAUCUCCAAGGGCCACGAGCACAAGAAGAUAAUCUCAAAGAGAAAAUCCGAAAGAGCCAAUUUGCUGUCCACCUCGUGAUUCUCGGCAUGAGAAAACACUCUGAGCUCGUCGACGACACGAGCAUCGUUUAGACCUGGCAGAGCGAAGUUCGAAUGGGAAUGCAGGAUACCCUGGGGCACAAGUGCCUGAGGGAGAGUUCCCCAGAGGACGGACCACUGCUUCUCUCCUGGAUGCUAGGGAACUACGCAAUCGAGCCUGAAAUCUCAGAGACUUUGAGCUAAUUCCGACCUUUCGGAGUUGGUGCAGUCCACCUGGACGUCUUCAGGUACCUCCAGGGUCUCAUUAUCAAACCCAUCAUCUCAAAUUAGAGGCCAAUGAUUUACCUGAGUUUGAUGAGGUGCGAGCCUGAGGACAACACGUGCUCCAACAGCUCCGAUCCAGACAGACUGGAGAUUGAGGAUCGGGAUGACAAUGAUGAUGAUGCUGAUGAGAAUGGAUAUGACAUGGGAGUCUAUUCUCGAGUUGAAAUCGUGUGUUCGAUUUCGGCAGAUCGCAUGCGACCCAUGAGGCGUACUAUGGUCGCAUACGACUUGUCAAAUUCGAUCGUACGAUUUCAAUUCGAGAAUAGGCUCCAUGACUGUCAAGCCGAAGAGAGCCGAGGAUAAUUACGAUGAUUGCAAGAGAGAGAGUAACUUAAUCGCAGUCCAGUCAAUCGAAUGGACACACCUGAGAGCAACUGCUUCGUUGAUUGGAAAGCUGUUCAAGUCGGUGCUGAAAUCACUCGACUCUGCUCAGUAUGGAUGAUUCAGGUCAAUUGUAUUCGCAUUGUUCUAUUCACUCGUUUGUCGUUAGAAUUUUAAAUUGAUAAAAAUAAAGCAAUUUUCAGCAGA